UUUUGAAAUAUCAAUGUAACAAAAAAAACAAAAAAAUCAUCAUCAAAUACUCAUCACGUGUAUCUACUGUACGCCAUCUCAUUGAAUCCCACUAUAGCAGUCAUGUUUUAUAUACUAGGUAAUGCAUGUAUACAUUGCAGUGAUGCAAACAAAUUCACAGCAAUGUUAGACCAGCAUAGGAUAUACCAACUGAUAUUAAAAUUACAUAUAACAAGUUAAAGAAAUGUCAAAAUCUGUGUAACCGGUUAUUUAAAAACGAUAGUGAGGCGUCUGGAUCCACAUCAUCAGACAGCGCGUAACUCUACCUCAGGAAACAUCUCCGUUUGCCCCGCGCUCUCCACGUCUGACGACACUCCCAUAUCUCUUUCUGACAUGCCAUGGUAUCAGCAAAGGGCAGAGCUAAUUAUGGCUGGAUGAAGUUCACAUGCUUCAUCUCUUCUCUCCUCUGAUGAUGCAUUUACUGGCGUGAGGGCGGGGCAACCUGUCACUUGAAAUCGACCAAUAGCAAACCACAGCCAUCCAAUCAAUUCCCAAAUGGACAAAAUCAAGUCCUGCCCUACAUUUUUUUCCCUGUUCGAGAAGCUGUUUCACUUUGGAUAUAUGUCACAAAAGAGUGUCAUUAAUCAUGCAUGAAUCCAUGAUUCCAGUUAUAGUUAAGGUUAGUUCGUUAUUCAUUCUUGAUUAGUUUAUGCCUUCAUUAUUCAUUAGUUCAUGUUUAAGUAUUUUCUGGUCCAUACAAUGAAAGUCAAUGGUCCAGUGUUGUUUUGGACUUUCAGUGAAUGACAUGAGUGUGAAUAAAAAAGCUUUAACCUUUGCUAGACUUAUCCACCACAUUUGUAUGCUUUAUUUCUUCUGACUGAUCAGGCUUAAGGUUUUCACACAGCGGAUGAUCAAAAAACUUAUAUUGACAGAAUGUCUUUGAUUUCAAACUCUAAAUAUCAAGCACAUACAAGGCCUUUAUACUGCUGCCUACUUAUCUGCUGUCUGUAUAGCUUGUAUAACCUUCAAACUCAAA